GCCCAGCCCCGCGGAGAUGGAAUGUGCGUGGGCUCCGUGUCUGAGCGGAUCGGGCUGUGCGCGCUGGGCAUGGGCGCCGGGCUGCUGCUGCUGGUUGGUCGUCCUUCUUGCUGCCGACUGUCCCGAGUGAGGGUGCACGCAGCCACCCACCUUCCUGUGCCUCCCUCCCGCUCCCGCUGCUCUCGGGACCGACGAGGGCGGGGUCCUGCCAUCCCCGGGAGACCGGGCACCUGGUCUGGUGGGUGGUACAGCCUCCCGGAGCCAAGAGCCACACGCAGGGCCUCUCCAGCAGGACCGGGCUGGGCAGGGCGAGGGCGCCACCCGAAGGAGGAGCCGUGACUUAGACCGAAUUCAGAUGCCUUGCAGCACCGCCUUCAGAACGGCACAGAGAAGCCUCCUGGAAAACCGCUGGCGUGGCUCACAGUUCCUUCCAUCAGCUUCUCCUGUUCAGCUCAUUACCUAGGCGUCUUUCUCUGCAUUCACGCUCCGACCCCAGCGUGGCUUUCCAGUCUCGCAUCCUCUCUGCCUCAUGUCACCCACCUGCCUCCUGCCGUCGCCGUUGGGAAAGCUUCGCGGGGAAGGCCUUUCUUGGGCACAUCCCAUCUCAUCAUCUACAAUCUCACAUGUUUCAUGCCUCUCAGUAAGACCCUCGGGGCUCUGCACACCAUAUGUAACAAAAGCCUAAUAUGCAAAAUGACCGACCUGCAGAAUGACCGGUCACUAUGAUGCACACUGACCACCAG